rnacentral:lncRNA from 1 species
UUUUCUGAGGCGGGGGAAUGUCAUGUUCUUGCUGUCAAUAUAGAGAGCCCAGCUCUUUUCAUGAUCUUGAACGAAUUUGCUUCGAGUAUUGUGAACUUGAAGGGAGAUUUAAGGAUGAGCCCAAGGCUAAAGGAGGCACUCAACAAAUUUUCAUCCUG